GUCGUGAUGAAGUUGUUAUGGAGGGAUUUAAUAGGAACAAUAGAAAGGUAUCAUAUGCAAACAGAGCAUGAAUGUGUUCCAAUAGCAAGUGUGAAAUGAAGCAUAAAAAUGUAGUAAGCUACUCGUUAGAGCAUGAGGAUACAAGUGGGGAAGGUUCUGCUUACCUCUAGGAGCUCGUGUUCUAUUGCUCGGUGUCUCCAGGGGGUUGCUACAACAAGAUGAAUCAACACCUCAGCUCCUGAUGAUGCCUCUGUGAAAACCAAGUCUACUUUGCUUUGUGAUGAUGGCCAAUGAAGAGAGUAUUUUUUUUCUUUCACUUUGUAAUGAGAAUGCCCCCUGAAGCAACAUUUUUGUUCUCCCUUUUAGAGGAAUGUCCUGACCAACUUCCAAAUCUUCCCUCUGCAGAAACCGUUUCCGCCUGUCAAAAACCCAAAUCGUGCCUGCCAAAACCCCC
rnacentral:lncRNA from 1 species